GAAAUGCGAUAAGUAAUGUGAAUUGCAGAAUUCAGUGAAUCAUCGAAUCUUUGAACGCACAUUGCGCCCUCUGGUAUUCCGGAGGGCAUGCCUGUUCGAGCGUCAUUACAACCCUCAAGCUCUGCUUGGUAUUGGGCAUCACCGGUCAAACGGUGUGCCUUAAAAUCAGUGGCGGUGCCAUCUGGCUCUAAGCGUAGUACAUCUCUCGCUCUAGGUGCCUGGUGGAUGCUUGCCAACAACCCCCAAUUUUUUAAGGUUGACCUCGGAUCAGGUAGGGAUACCCGCUGAACUUAA
rnacentral:misc_RNA from 1 species